ACAAGUUUGAUAUUACCCAUUUCAUUAAGAGCGGUUUCUUCUCAAAAAUUCAAGAAUCCUUCUUUUCCUCUACCUUAGCAAGUCUGAAUUUUCCCAAUCUUCUCUGAAAAUUUUCCCCAAAUCGUUUUCAUUAAAGUUCUUUUCUUGUACAUCUGACUGAAAAAAAUAGCUAUACCUUAACUGAAGUUGAUGAAUCUUCCUUGGGCUUUCCUUUUCCUUGAAUGGAGUUCAUUUGGGGUUUUUAAACCUAUUUCUCCACUUGGGAUUUGCAGAGGAUUACUCAUUGGAAUUGGCACCUGCCCUUGAUAAUUUUCUCCAUUUCUUAUCAACCAUCCCAAUAAGAGACCUAAUUGCCAUCUAUGGUUGAUUCAAGUUCUUGUUUUUCCCUGGAGUUCCAACUUGCUUUAGAGAGGGUUGAUUCAAAUCCUAAUUUCCAGCUGUAGUUGAUGCAAAUCCUAAGAAGUGAAGACUAUGACAUAAAUUUAUGUCUUUUAGUUGGUAGGAUGUUGUUUGUGAUUGGAAUUGUAGUAAAAAAGUACUAGGUAUGGUGUUUUGAAUGUGUAGUUUGUUAUUUGUGUUUGGUAGUUGUUGGUGAUGUCAUUAAGUUGGUGUUGUGCAAGUGUUGAUAAUUUAGAAUGAUCAAAGGAAAUCAUAUGUUUUGCAAUGUUUAAUUAAAUGGUUCCUCUUCUUGUUUAAUUAAUAUAUUG
rnacentral:lncRNA from 1 species